rnacentral:lncRNA from 1 species
CAGAAUCACUUAUUUUAUAAUAUCUAUCAAUUUGUUUUAAAUUUUAAUGUAAAAGAGAGACAUCGACAUAUAACCGUAUUACUUCUGUUAAAGAUGACUCAAUCGAUUCAUGUUGUUGAUACACCCAUCUUGUGAUUUUGCCAGGAAAUUGUGCCGCUUAGGAAGAUUUGUCGCAGGCCUGAAACUGAUUACAGACUACAGCAGCUUCAUGCUGUGGGUGAUUCAGCACAUGUGGAUCAGCAGAAGAGUGUCAUGGAUCCAAAGAAAGCUGAAACAACUGAUGUUCAACCUGGAAAUUCCACCAUCAUCCCAUUCUCAGGGCCAGUCCAAUACUAAAUGAUGCCUAAAACAAACUUUAAAGUGGGGUUUUUUUAUUAAAACUUGAAAAAUUGCAGUUAUUCUCUCAUUUUUAUACUUUUAUUUAUUAGUUAGUAACAAUUGAUGAGGGAACUAGGGAAACCAAACUUGAGAUUGGGAUGAAGUUUUGUUGCUGCCGUUGCCGUUUGUUGAGUUUUUCGUGGAGUUUUGUUUUAUUAAUAAGGGAACUGGGGAAACCAAACGUUUGCCAGACUAGUCAAACGUGGGAUGAAGUAUUUAUUUUUCUUUCUAUGGAGACCAUUGAGGUUGGUUUUUUGAACUGAGGCCUUGAUUUUUAUUUCAAGCCUUCCUUACAAAAAGACUAUUGAACUUAUCACAUGAAUAUGCGGUCUUUUUUACUUAGUAAAUUUUUUUUUUACUCAGUAAAACUACUGGGACCAAAAUUUUAUUUCAUUUUUUUUUAGAAGUUCUAUUCCACAAAUGAUGGUCAAACAAAUGGAGAGAAGAUAGCAGUUAGCUUAAGUAUUAUGAUGCAUGUAUCAUUUUUGUUGCCUGAGGUUUAACACAUGCUUUUUAACUUUUAACCUUAUAUAUUGAAUCAGUGAUUCCAUAAAAAAGUUUCUUGUUCAGAUACAGUCCUCUUAACUUCUCGUUCUGAAAUUGUCUCAUAUUAAAUCCCUAUUUCCCGUUGGAACUUUUCAUUCAAGUUGCCAACAUUUUUAUGAGAGGAUCAAUGAAUACAGAAUGACUGCAGAACAAUGAACUGAACUAGCUUAUGACUGUGCUUGUUGCUGUUGCUUCACAAUGGUGCCAUUUGAAAAGAGGCAGAAUCACUUAUUUUAUAAUAUCUAUCAAUUUGUUUUAAAUUUUAAUGUAAAAGAGAGACAUCGACAUAUAACCGUAUUACUUCUGUUAAAGAUGACUCAAUCGAUUCAUGUUGUUGAUACACCCAUCUUGUGAUUUUGCCAGGAAAUUGUGCCGCUUAGGAAGAUUUGUCGCAGGCCUGAAACUGAUUACAGACUACAGCAGCUUCAUGCUGUGGGUGAUUCAGCACAUGUGGAUCAGCAGAAGAGUGUCAUGGAUCCAAAGAAAGCUGAAACAACUGAUGUUCAACCUGGAAAUUCCACCAUCAUCCCAUUCUCAGGGCCAGUCCAAUACUAAAUGAUGCCUAAAACAAACUUUAAAGUGGGGUUUUUUUAUUAAAACUUGAAAAAUUGCAGUUAUUCUCUCAUUUUUAUACUUUUAUUUAUUAGUUAGUAACAAUUGAUGAGGGAACUAGGGAAACCAAAC